CUGCAGCCAAUUAAGCCGACUGUGCUCUUUUCCAUGGGGCCCGGUGUGAUGUGCCUGCAAACAGCAGCCUCCUUGGUGGUCUAUACAGCCUGUUGAUUGUAUGGGUUGCCCUAAGGGACCUCGGAGACAGCU